GAUGAACGCUGGCGGCGUGCCUAAUACAUGCAAGUCGAGCGAACAGACGAGGAGCUUGCUCCUUUGACGUUAGCGGCGGACGGGUGAGUAACACGUGGGUAACCUACCUAUCAGACUGGGAUAACUUCGGGAAACCGGAGCUAAUACCGGAUAAUAUUUCGAACCGCAUGGUUCGAUAGUGAAAGAUGGCUUUGCUAUCACUUAUAGAUGGACCUGCGCCGUAUUAGCUAGUUGGUAAGGUAACGGCUUACCAAGGCAACGAUACGUAGCCGACCUGAGAGGGUGAUCGGCCACACUGGAACUGAGACACGGUCCAGACUCCUACGGGAGGCAGCAGUAGGGAAUCUUCCGCAAUGGGCGAAAGCCUGACGGAGCAACGCCGCGUGAGUGAUGAAGGUCUUCGGAUCGUAAAACUCUGUUAUUAGGGAAGAACAAACGUGUAAGUAACUGUGCACGUCUUGACGGUACCUAAUCAGAAAGCCACGGCUAACUACGUG
rnacentral:rRNA from 1 species